UUUCCGUAGGUGAACCGGCGGAAGGAUCAUUAUCGAGUUAGGAUCUCUGGCCCUACAUCCAACACUGUUACUGCUAAACCAUGGUUCUUCGGCGGGCCCGGGUUCGUCGCCGCCGAGGGGUUCACGCCCCCGGGCCAGCCCCCGCAGAUCGCCCCCUCUUCAACUCCUGAUCAACCCUGACUGUCUGAGUAAAAAAAAAUCAAGCACAAAACUUUCAACAACGGAUCUCUUGGUUCUG
rnacentral:misc_RNA from 1 species